rnacentral:rRNA from 1 species
UCGAACGAGAAAGCCGGAGCAAUCUGGUGAGUACAGUGGCGUACGGGUGAGUAACACGUGGGUAAUCUACCUCUUAGAGUGGAAUAACCCUGGGAAACCGGGGCUAAUACCGCAUAAGCCUGAGAAGGGAAAGCAGCAAUGCGCUGAGAGAGGAGCCCGCGGCCGACUAGCUAGUUGGCAGGGUAAAAGCCUACCAAGGCAAAGAUCGGUAGCCGGCCUGAGAGGGCACACGGCCACACUGGCACUGAAACACGGGCCAGACUCCUACGGGAGGCAGCAGUGGGGAAUCUUGCACAAUGGGGGAAACCCUGAUGCAGCGACGCCGCGUGAGCGAUGAAGCCCUUCGGGGUGUAAAGCUCUUUCGUCAGGGAAGAUGAUGACGGUACCUGGAGAAGCAGCUGCGGCUAACUACGUGCCAGCAGCCGCGGUAAUACGUAGGCAGCAAGCGUUGUUCGGAGUUACUGGGCGUAAAGGGUGUGUAGGCGGUUGUUUAAGUUUGGUGUGAAAUCUCCCGGCUCAACUGGGAGGGUGCGCCGAAUACUGAAUGACUAUAGUGCGGGAGAGGAGAGUGGAAUUCCUGGUGUAGCGGUGAAAUGCGUAGAUAUCAGGAGGAACACCGGCGGUGUAGACGGCUCUCUUGACCGUAACUGACGCUGAGACAC